GGGCCGCGGAAGGCUCACUCCUUGGUACGCACCCUACUAGGCGGCAGAACUGAGAAGACUCGGGCCGUCCUUGGAAAAGAAUUGCGGAGGAAACGCAUCUGCAAAGAUGUUUCUUGUUCCUUGUGUGUCGUUUGUGUUGCCAUGGUUGUGUUGUUCUUUAAAAAAAAAAGGGCAGAGGAUCCCGGCUUUGUCUUGGAUGCAACAACGCAGAAAAGACCUUUGCAAGCGGAAUUGUUUAUGGCUGCAAAUUCUGCAGGCAAGGCUGCAAAUUCUGCGCCUAUGUAUGGCUUCAAAUUCUGCGCCUAUGUAUGGCUGCAAAUUCUGCGCCUAUGUAUGGCUUCAAAUUCUGCGCCUAUGUAUGGCUGCAAAUUCUGUGCACAUGCAUGGCUGCAAAUUCUGUGUGCACAGCUGCAAAUUCUGCGGGCACGGCUGCAAAUUCUGUGCGCAUGCAUGGCUGCAAAUUCUGUGCCUAUGUAUGGCUGCAAAUUCUGCGCCUAUGUAUGGCUGCAAAUUCUGUGCACAUGCAUGGCUGCAAAUUCUGUGUGCACAGCUGCAAAUUCUGCGGGCACGGCUGCAAAUUCUGUGCACAUGCAUGGCUGCAAAUUCUGUGGGCAUGGCUGCAAAUUCUGUGUGCAUGGCUGCAAAUUCUGUGUGCAUGGCUGCAAAUUCUGCGCCUAUGUAUGGCUACAAAUUCUGUGUGCAUGGCUGCAAAUUCUGCGCCUAUCUAUGGCUACAAAUUCUGUGUGCAUGGCUGCAAAUUCUGCAUGUAGGGCUGCAAAUUCUGCGCCUAUGUAUGGAUACAAAUUCUGUGUGCAUGGCUGCAAAUUCUGUGCCUAUGUAUGGCUGCAAAUUCUGCAUGUAGGGUUGCAAAUUCUGUGCACAUGCAUGGCUGCAAAUUCUGUGUGCAUGGCUGCAAAUUCUGCACAUACGCAUGGCUGCAAAUUUUGUGUGCACGACUGCAAAUUCUGUGUGCAUGGCUGCAAAUUAUGCGUGCAUGGCUGCAAAUUCUGCAUGUAG
rnacentral:lncRNA from 1 species